CUGUUUUUCAUUUAUUUAUAAGGUAUACUACUUUAUUUUUAAAAAAUAGUACCAAGAAUGUACCAAAGAGUUUACAAGGGAUCCAGACUUAAACAGCAGCUAUACAGACUCCAGCAGGUCCAUGAAACCAGAAAUGCUAAUGACAGAAUCCUCUAAGCCGACAAAACAUAUUCUAAAAUCAUCUAAACUUUAACAAAGCAUUCAACUCUUCUGUUGCUUCAAAGCAUCUUUUGUUCCUUUUGAGCCACACAGUCCAGAUAAUGCAUAAUGGUAUUAAUUUCCAUAUCUUCUUCAGUCUGCUCUUCAUACUUUGUCCUCGCCAACAAAUAAGUACAUCUAUGAAGCUUUGCUGCAUCACCUAUUUAACACCAAUAAUAUCCAGAAACAUGGUCCAUAUCAACCAUGUAUGAUUACAAUGCAGCAGAAAAAUGUUGUUUAAUCUUACAUAAGACCAGCUUUUCCUUGAGACAAACUAGGUAUUUGUACACAAAAUAGACGGGUAUUGAAAGGGCAUGAGAAGCAUUGAAAAACUACCAGGCAAAUAUUGGAAGCACAACGAAUACAAACAAGUUCUUUGCCAGAAAUUCAAAUACGAGGAAACCUCAAAGAAUGAACACACUGAACACCUAGAAUAGGUCGCUCAAAAGCUAACACAAAACUUCAUUUUUCGUAGCAGCUUUCUAUGACAGAUUCUCCAUUAUACGUUUGCCUCGACACCUGCCUCCAAUUCUGCUUAAUGAUGCUAUUGCAAGCGACUCUGUCAUCGCAAGCGCUUGCGUUCUUAUGUAUAAAGCUGAUCAUUCUCUUUCAUAGCACAGGAGUUUAGACACUUAAUCAGAAUCAAGACUAUACAAGCAGUCAAUGUCAUAAACAUAAGAGAUGGUGCAAUAAUUAAGGAUUCCAUGACGCAACUAAGAUCUGAGACUUACUAAGUAAGACACAUGCAUACAUUUCGUUUGCAUUCAUUAGAUGGUUACCUUUAGGACCUGAAAACCACAACACUACAGUUCAUCUAUAAGUGAAAUUUGGUUGGAGAGAUCUCUUCACACUUCAACCAGCUUCGAUUGUUAUCCAUCCUGCCACUAGGAAUCCUUCAGCUUCUAGAGUAAAGGUCACCUAACUUGAAAAUGUGCAGAGUGGUAUUGCCUAGGAAAUCCACAUUCCUAUAGGAAUUGGAGAAGACUCAGAAAUAAUGAGAGCAAUAUUUGAAAAGAAAGCAGGGAUUGGCAAAUAUGUUAAGGUACUUCCAAUUAGGAGAUUCCUGUCAUGCUCAAACCUUAAUUACUUGCUGCAUUGGAAAUUGUCAGACAACUAAACAAGUUGUUUUGACCUUGAUGACAUUCAUCUCCUUUCCAUUUUAUCCUUCCGAACAAUGCAUUUUCUAAUUUGGAAAAGCAAAAGCAAAGAUUAAUCAUGUACAUGCUCAAGCUACAGUAUCAGGCAUCACAGAGAAAAUCUUUCAUUGAAUACGGUAAAAAUUUUGACAUUUCCUUACCAGAAUUACCAGCUAUACAACUUCAAAUAUUCUCUGCCUUAAAGACUGAAACAACUCAUACACGUACAUAAAUUCUCUCAGGAGGCGCAUUUAAAGCAGUUUGUGUGGUGGCUAUGUGUGCAUGAAACUAACCAUGCUAUUCUAGAAGUCCUCUCUACUCCAGCAUGUGCUUUUACAGCUCUGUGUGCUUGUAAACGAAGAAAUUCUAGAUUACAUGUUUCAGGUUGGAUCAGGGGGGAAAGGUGUUGCAGGUAGGUGGACAAUGCCAGGUUUAUGUCUGGCUCCUUCAGACAUUGGGAUUGCUCUACAAAGUUUACCAGAAAAUGGAAGCUCCAGACUCUCAUUUCAUUAUGAGUCAAGAAACAAAAGUUCAGUAAACUUCUCCUCCAGGAGAUAGAUCCCUCCUUGUACUUACAUGCUACUUAGUUUGGUUCUCUAAAAGAUUGUUACCAUAUUACAACUCACAUCAUACAUCAGGACAGGGCAUGGUCCAUCUUUAUUAACCUGGACAAUGAAAGAGCUCCAUAGCUUGUUUUGGGUGGAUAGAUGUAAAUGGUGUCUGUUUAACUCAAGAUAAUUUGAUGAAGAGAGGUUUUUCAAUUCAGUAAUAGAUGUUACCUAUGCCAAAGAAACAUGAACCUUGCAAAUUGACUAGCAUCAGAUUAAGUUAAUUUAGGAUAAACAAUCAAGAAAAGGAGAAAGAAGUAAGAUGGACUGGAAAAGAAACUGGCUAGAAAUCAAAUUGCUUUGGACAUCAAGUUAUAUGUUGGAGCAUAAACAAAAACCUAGAGUUUAAUUUAAAAGAAAUAGAAAAUAAGCCAACAUCAGGCUGCUUACACUAUGCUACAUGAUCCACAAUAAGUUUAGAGACCUAAAGUGGAGGCCAAGCAUGUUGCAUCAACAUCAGGGGUGAACCAAAUAGGAGCUGGUAGAAUCCUCUGUAUCUUGUCUACAUCGACAGGGUAGUAACAGGAUAAAAAGCUUCCUUCUUUACAGUCAUAAAUCCCCAAAUCAUGACCUCCACAAUUAGGCUCCUCCCUAAAUAUGUAAGCAUAGGUUAGAUCAUCUGUAAAGUAAAUAGAAUUGGGCCUCAAUUCCGGGAACAUGGUGGUCGAGAGAGCAAAGCCGGGAUUGGAACCAAUGAAGAAUGCACGAUUGCCAAGGCUGCUUGGCAAGUAUUGAAGCUCCACAUGAUCAUGGUCUAUAAAAUCAAGCUUGAAAACAUCAAAAGUUUGAGUCUUGUAGGGAUAUUCGCGCUCAGCGUUGUCCACAGGCAAUAUCAGAGUCCCAUCUUGGGCAAUGCCAUGUGCUAUGUAGCGUGUAACAAUAAAAAGCUCCUGGGUUUGGUGGUCAUAUACCAAGUAAUCAGUGUCCCAACAGUAGCAUGACUUGCACUCUAGCUCAGUAUCAUCCGCAGCAGAACAGGGCCAAUCAUCACUGCAGCCUAUAUCUUCAAUCUGAAUGAGAAACCUCUUAGUUGGAUCAUUGUGGAGAUCCCAAGCUUCAAGCUCCUUAUCUUGGGUGAGAGCAAAAAAUAGUUUCUUUCCACUGUGGAACACAAUUUGAGUGUACUCAUGUAAGGGACCGUCGAGUGCAGUCCACGAAUUGGCUUCAGCUAUGCCAGGCCUCCUGCAAAAUGCGAGUCGCUGGUGGGGCCCGUAAAUGACCAACGCUAUGCAGUCCUCAUCCAUAGGAUCAGGGGAUGAAAGGAUCAUCUUUUCGACAAUGUAUGAAGACAUACGUUGCGGGGUUAAGGGAAUAGAUUGGUGGUUAAGAAAGCAUUCGACUCUGACACUGUUCCGAAUAACGCCGUUAACACAGGGGAAACUUUCAAUGGAUGGAAGCUGGAUAGUCUUACCAGAAAGUGGGUUAAACAUGAAGAGAAGACAAUCUUUAGGCUGUAUACAAACAAGCCAUCCCUUGGAUAAUGAACCCAAGCAAACGGAAUCAAUAUCAGGCAUCAUCACUUGCUGCUCAUGUUGUACUUGUAUGACAUCCCCUUCUGCCGGUCUGUAGAAUUUGAAGACGGUGCUGUCCUCUUUAAACUCCGGCAGUAGCAUCAACCAAGGAGCCACACAUCUGCUCACCACAGGACCACUACAACUAUUAUGGUCGGCAUCAAUCAGUUCACUAAUUUGCCCUCUCAUUAUUUCCUUUGGAACAGAAGUUCUGACCACCAAGGAAGAGCUAGCCAUGAUUGAAUUCUUUGAGCAAGACACAAGAACCUCCCAAACGUAUUUAUAGAUCAAGAAUCUAAGGUCUACUGGUUUGCUUUUAAAUACAGUAAUCCAAAGUUUGCUAGGUUUCGGCUUGCUUUUCUGUUCUGCUAGGUUUCGGCUUGUUUCUACUUUCUGGAAGAUUAAGCUCAAGCACUUCUGUUCUGUCGGCUCUCACUUUUACGGAAAAAUGUGUUUAAGGGCCGGGCCGGAUUGACCAUAAAAGAAUUCCAUUUUUGUUUUCGAAAAUUUACUUUUUGUGGUUUCACUUCAAGUUGAAUUUUAGAAUUUUUCAGAAAUUUGAAAAUUUUCAAAAAAUUAUUUUUUAAAAUCUUCACUUUAAAUCACUUAGUAUACGUUUGGACAUAAAAAUUAUAAUUUUUUAGAAAAAAUAGUAUUUAAAGAUAAGUUAAAAAAAUAUUUAGAAUUUGAAAUUAUGUUUGGACAUACAUUUAACUUGAAAAAAUAUUGCAAUUUUAUGAGUGGGGAAAUAUUUUUUGAAAAUUUGGAAAAAGGCUUUUUGAAAAACUCUUGCAAAAUUUCAUGAAUAAACAUAUUUUUGAAAAAAAAAAGAAAAAAAAGAAAAAAAAAUAUUAUGAAAAAACGGGUACUUAAAAUAAUUUAAAAAUAUAUUCAAAUUAUAUUCGUGUCCAAAUACUACUAUAUUUUUUAAAUAUCGUUUUCGCUUGAAAAUUUUUUUGUUUAAUUAUUUUCCGAAUUUUCACAAUUCUUAUAUCCAAACGACGAAAGGCCGGUAAAUCAAGGGUGUUCGGGGGCCAAAUUAAAAAUAAGAAAAUGUUGGAGUAAAACUUAAAAAACUAAAAAAUAAGUAAACCCAUCACCCAAAAUAGUUCCCCACCUAUCCCAUUCUCUAUUUUCUCUUUCUUCACUUUUCAGAAUCUUUCUCCCCCUUUCCCUCAAACUCAACCUCCAAAAUCAGUUAUUUCACGAUUUGGGGCUCCAAAAAUCGGCUCUAUUUCUACUCAAUUUCGUUCAAACUUUCUAAAUUCCAUCAUCAAGGUAAUUUUUUUUAUUUUUCUACCCCAUUGAUGAGCCCUAAACUUGUUAUUUCGACUUCUAUAGAUUCUUUUAUUUUUCUUGGUAUUUUUGUAUCUUCGUGUCGUUGUGUAGUUUUCGUGCCUAAAUUUUAGAGUUGUCGUGUAGUUGAUAUUUUUGACCGAAGAUUUGGUACUUUUAUGUUGUUGAUGUGGUUGUUCCACAGACCUAGAAAUUUAGUUGUUGUGAUAUUAAAAUGACUAUAUUGCUCUAUUUUUGGGUCUGUGGAACGAUUUUUUGCCAAUUUGUUUCAAACAUCUCGUUUGAAUGUUUGAAACAUCUUAAGAGAUAGUUAAAUAUUUAUGUUGUUAUUGUUAUUGUUAUAUGUUGUGCAAUUAUUGUAAUAUUUUUCUGAGUUUGGUUAGUGGCAUUUUGCGCUGAUAUUUCAAACAUCUCAUUAGAGUAUUUGAAACAUCUUAAAUAUGGUUGAAAUAUCCUUCUUGUAAACAACUCAUUGAUUGUAAAAUAUCUUCAGAGAUGUUUCAAACAUCUCAUUAGAUGUUUGAAGCUGCAUAUAAGAUGUUUGAAACAACUGUAAAGAUGUUUAACAAUCCAAAAGACGUUUCACCAAAGAAUACCUGAUUAUUUAUAGCGUUAAUUUUUUAUAUGUUAGGAGUAAAUUAUUUGUUUACUUGUUGAUGGUUGUUACUUGUUUGAGUGUGUAGAUAAAAUGACAAAGGAACGUGUGUCAAAGAGAGGAGAAAUGGCUAAAAGGAAGAAGUGGCUCUCCUUCUAAAAGACCUAGCAAAAAAAUUAGGACAUCAUAGGAAAAUGAGAUACAACAAUCAAUUCUCAUUGUAGCUGAAGUGGAAGUUACACCUCUUCAGGCGGUAGUAGUAAUAGGAGGAGGAUAGAAUAAUCAGGUAGGAGGAGACACUGCUACUGAAGUAGUAAAGGAGAGAAUGCUGGAGAAGAGGAAAAAGAGAAAGAAAAAGAUAAUGAAAAAGAAAAAGAAGAGGAAAGAAGAGGAUAAGGAGAGAGAAAAAGAAGAGGAUAAGGAGAGAGAAAAAGAAGGAGAGAGAAAAAGAAGAGGAUAAGGAGAGAGAAAAAGAAGAGGAUAAGGAGAAAAGAAAAUAGAGAAUGAAAUAGAAGAGGAGACAGAAGUUGAUGAUGAAAAAUCAAAAGAGGAGACAACAGCCGUUGAAGGAUAAGAAAGACAAGGGGAGACAAAUGUUGAUGAUGAAAAUCAUAAGAGGAAAUAGUAACUGUUGAAGGAGAAGAAAUAGAAGAGGAGACCUCCGGAGAUGAAUAUUUUAUGUUGAAACUAAGAGAAGAAGAAGCUUCAAGAGAAGAAGAAAAAGAGGCAGAGACAAAAAGAAGAAAAAAGAAAAAGAAUGACAAUGCACCUUCUCAAUCUGUUAAGGUAAGCUCAAUAUGUUAAAACAUCUCUCUGGAUAUUUGAAAUAUCUCUCUGGAUGUUUGAAAUUCUCCCUGGAAGUUUAAAACAUCUAGUUGGAUGUUUAAAUUAUCUAUGUGGAUAUUUGAAACAUUUCAUAGGAUGUUUCACUAAAAAAAGUUGGAAAGAGAUUUUAAUAAUUAUUAAAUUCAUUAUUCUUGUGCCUAUUAUUAAUCAACAUUUUUAAAUCAUGUAAAGAUUGAGAUGCCUAAAGAUGAGUUUGAUAGUUGCGAGGUUGAAAUCUUAAGGCUUUGGCCGGAACUUCCACCGUUCAAGUUCAAGAUAUUUUUGGAUGAUAAUGAGACCUUCAAUAAGAAGAUCAUAGUAAGAUUCUCAUUAGGAUUAGCAGGUAUGGGUAAGUUCAGAAAGUUGUAGCAGGAUGAGGGCCUCGAAAAUAAGUUUAGGACUAGACCUUUCAAGAACUUUUAGAUUUGUCUCAGGAGACACUAUUUAAGGCAUCUAUAUUGCAGUAGAGUAUUGUGGGAGAAGACCCAAGAUUUAUGGGUUAAUUACAAAAGAUUACCAGUCCGCUUCGACCAUUGUGAGUUUGCCAUAACGACUGAACUCAACUGUAGACAUUCUUAUACUAAUUUGAAGAUAAAAGUACUUUCUUGAUGGUGGAAAUUUAUGAAAACUUAUACCAAAGGAAAGAUAUCUUUGACUGAUAAACUAGUGUUUGACUUAAUCAAAUCCAAAUCCAAAAAAAAUUAAAAACAUAAAUAUGAACUAUGCUUGAUUUGGUUAGUUCACUGCAUUUUGUUGGCAAAGGAUAUGAACUGUGGUGUGUCUGAAGAUACAGUCAGACUGGCCUCGACAAAAGAGGCUUUCUACAUUUAUCCAUGGAGCUAAAAUAUUUUUCAUUUGACUUUUUAUUAUAUUAUGAAAGAUAAGAAAGAGCGUCAAUAAUCAAAGAGUGACUCUUAUUAACCUCUAUGGAUUUUCUUAGACUUUCAUGGUAACUAGAUAAAUCUUGUUUAUUAUUUUUACUUUUAUGUUAUUUAUAUAACCUUCUAUUUACUGUUUGAUCACACAAUGUAGGCUUUGGGCGUUUGAAGCCUUACCUCAAUUACGGCCAAAAGAUUAUCCAAAAGAGAGAACCUUGCCGAGGAUGAAGAGGUGGUUAUUUGAAAAAGUAGAAAAUGACAGGCCCGAUCAAGUUCAGAUCAAAGAUGAUCCGGUACGGCUCAUUCUGGUGGAUGUUUCAAAGAUGAUUGAAACAUCUUUCAAACAUCAUGUAAAUGCUUGAAACAUUUUAUAGAAAGUGUUUUAAACAUCUAUAGGAUGUUUCAAGCAUGCCUUUAAUAUCUAUGCUUAUAAAUCUUUUUGUUCCCUUCCCAAGUGGUGCGCCCUUUUCUUUACCCUACAGAGGCUAAAAAGAGGGAGGCUUACAUCUAAAAUUUUAUUAUUUUACUAGAUAAAGAGACAUGAUAAUAGAUAGCCUAAAUAAAGGGUUGGAUGUAGUGACAGUCUUAAGACAUUGGUGUCCUUAAAAUAGAGAAAGGUAGUUUGCAAACCCCACAAAUUAGAGAUAGCCAUGUGGUUAAAGGAGAUGAUGAUACAAGAGAAAUAUUUGUUGGCGGAGAUGGUAGAAUAAGAGGAGAAGCUAUUUGUGAUGAUGAUGGUGAUGGUACAACAGAAAUAUAACCAAGAAAGAUGUAAGAUGGACUGGAAAAGAAACUGGCUAUAAAUCAAAUUGCUUCGGACAUCAAGUUAGAUGUUGGAGCUACAUAAUCAGAAACCUAGAGUUUAAUUUAAAAGAAAU
rnacentral:lncRNA from 1 species